UAGCUUUUGUGGUUGAGUAUAGGCCUCCCAAUUUCUAAUAAUCCCCCUUUCCACCCCACUCGUCGCCUCCCCCAUGGACAUCGUAUCUGGGUCCGCUAUGGCUGCCGCCAUGGCGGCAUCUUCAAGGGUGUCCAUUUGGAUAUGCUUCUCGACAUGUCCACUGAUGAGCUUGAAAGAUGGGUUUUGACAGGUUUAUUUGUACGAGCUUUUUGACAGGGAUGGAACAACAACGGGUCGCGAUUGGAGGCUUCUGAACCCUAAUGGCACCGCCAAGUACCACGUUGAUUUCUCUGCCGCUUCAUCAGGUUCUUCCAUUUGCGUGGCUUUGGUAAUUUUCUGGCUUCUGGUUCAGUUGGGCACUUCAUCUUCAUGCAUUGGCAACUACUGAGUACUGACACUGUUCUCUUAGUUCAGGUUCUUUAAUUUCUUAGUUUUCUUUCAAUUUGAGCUUUGUUGAUUCAUAGUGUCAAUACAAAUAUGGUGUACUUUUUGUUUCAUUCUGCUCCCCUAUAAGCAUUGCUAUGGUGUCUGCACAUGUUAAAGAAAUCAAGGUUUACAUUCUGAGGCCUCUCCUGAGGGUAGCGAGUGAGUAAGUUGUCAUUGCUUCUCUUGAAACAUUCCUGGGCUCCCCAGCAAGUCCCUAAAAUAUUCCCAUUUCAAACAAGAGAGUGGAGCAAACAAGUUUUGAUACUAUUUGAAUGUCACUGUAAACAAGUUGCAUGGCCUCAACCUUUUGAAGCUCGCACCUGGGCCACCUUGAAGGAACUAGCAAACCCAGACACGCACUCUCUUCUUCCAAUUCUGGUUCCACUGUUGUUUAGAUUUCUAUUUUUAUUAUUUUAUCAUGCUUUACUAGAGGCUAUGAAGCAAUAGAAAUUAGUAGUAAGUUUUGAAAAUAUAGUCUUGACGAACCUGAGGCACUUUUGGACAAGCAAGUUCAAGUGCACACUAAAUCAGAUGAAGCGUCUUAAGGAUGUAAAAGAUGUCGAGGCUGGACUCUUGCAGUCAGAAUUGGAAGCCCUUAAAGCUCAAUAGAGUGAUUUUAAACACUCUUUUUGAGGAUGAGGUUGAGAAAGAAAAACUAAGAAAGCAAGUUUUCCAGCUAAAGGGUGAACUAAAGAAGAAGGACGAUGCAUUAACCAGUUUCGAGAAAAGGUUCAGGGAUAGUAAUGGACGCACACAAGUUACUGAUGGAGCUAAAACCAUUCUAAAGAAUAAAAAGACUGCUUAAAGUCCUCAGCAUUCAAGAGAAAUGGCAAGUCUGAGGGAGAAAAUAAAAACGCUUGAGGGUAAGAUACAGCCAAAGGACAAUGCCCUGGAAACUUCCACAACUUCAUUUCUGGAAAAGGAAAAUGAACCCCAGACCAAAAUUGCAGAGCUAGAGCGCAAAGUAAAGGAAUUAAAUCAGAGUAUUGCUUCACAUUAGGUUGCUCAGGAUAGAAGUAAUACUAUUACAAAUGAGAUAUCUGGAGAAAUUAGUGCAGGGGAGCAUCCGAAUGAUGUUGCAUAUGGUUUUGAAGAAAGUGGGGCUGCGUUUUUACUCAAGAGUAAUGUGAACCUGCAAGAGAAAGAAGCAGGAACCUCUUUAAUGGAUACUGCAGACAGCAAUCUUAAUGCACAUUAACCGACUUGUCAUCACUGAAAGAAAGAAACAAAUCAAUGGAAAGCGAACUUAAAGAAGAACAGUCUACAGUCAAUUGUUUGCAAGACAAGAAGAAAAUGCACUUGAUUUAGAACACAAACCUUUAGCUUCAAAUGUUUGAUCAUUUUAAUGGUACUAAUAAUGUUUGGUGGUUUUAGCUAAUAAGUUCUUUGUGAAUC